GUAUAAACAGCUGUUAGAAAGUGAAUUAUCAAUUUAAAAACUUAAAUAAAUUUAAAGAAAAUUAAAAAUUAUUUGAAUUUUGAAGAAAAAAAACAAUUUGGCAAAACACAAUGUAUCUUAACUUCCUUAUAUGCUCGUUCAUUGAAGAAGAGAGCAAUGACAGCGGCAACGCAACAGAAAGGAUCACCAUGAGAUAGUCGAGAAAGGUUUUGAAGGCAUAUCGCUACCUCAAAACGGAAGUUCGGUGUUUUCAAAGCUGCUUGUCACUAUUUCAUGAGAAAAAUUGGUAUGGGUGGUGGUAGAGGGGUACAUAUACACCGCCGGUGUUACGCUUAGCCACCAGGUUGUAGUUCUUGGCUUCAAGAGAUUAGCAACGGCUGGUCUGCAGGGACCAUAGCGUAAGUGCUACACGAGACACGUCAUCAAUCGGUGUAUCAGAGGCGUCACAAGAAUUGGACAUAAGACUUUGUGCGGUGUGGAUCCAAUGGACCGCAAACGCGGACACAAGGUUGUGGUCUUACCAGAAAUUUCGUGCCCCAGGCGACAAGUUAUUGAACUUUUCGUCUUACAAUAAAUGGCGUUUAUAAUAUUUUCAUUAUUCAUUACAGUGAUUAGAUGCAUCGAUGGAACGCAUAUAUGCUUUUCGAAGCUAGCGGAAAAUGAAGCAAUUUUCAUUAAUCGGAAAGGCUAACCCAGGCACUUUUUUUUCCUUUUGCGACCAUGAAGUGACAUGAGUCGCAUGUGUUGAGGCACUCCGCCGAAACAGCUUACGUGGAAAACCAUUAGAACGGUCAAUGCUUUUGGCUGCUCGGUAAAAUCCACAUCUUUCCAAGUUUUUUUUUUUGGAUGAUAGGGUAUACGUCCUAGAGCUUUGGCUAACAACAUCUUAACAUAGUUUGGCGGAUCCCCUAAAAAAAGCUACAACGAACUUCAUUGCAAGGCGAGGAACACCGUGAGAAGAUGCUUUGAUGUGUAUAAAGUAAAAGGCCGCUGGCGUAUUCUACACGAAGAGCGAAAGAGCUGCUACAGCCCAAAGAAGCUGGGAAGAAUUGCAAACGUUUG